UACGUAGGGGGCAAGCGUUGUCCGGAUUUAUUGGGCGUAAAGAGCGUGUAGGCGGCUUGGAAGGUCCGUUGUGAAAACUCGAGGCUCAACCUCGAGACGUCGGUUGAAACCAUCUGGCUAGAGUCCGGAAGAGGAGAGUGGAAUUCCCGGUGUAGCGGUGAAAUGCGCAGAUAUCGGGAAGAACACCCGUGGCGAAGGCGGCUCUCUGGGACGGUACUGACGCUGAGACGCGAAAGCGUGGGGAGCGAACAGG
rnacentral:rRNA from 1 species